UGAUAUUAUAUAGGUGUAAUUUUUGAAUGUUCAAUAUAAAGGGAAGCUGGUGUAAAUCCAGCACAGCCCCCGCUACUGUAAAUAGUGACGAGUCUAUGUAUACCACUGGGAAACUGGGAAGGUUUAGAUGAGGUUGAUCUAUAAGUCAGGAUAUCUUUAGAACGUUCGUAUAAA
rfam:Anaerosphaera sp. HMSC064C01 Anaerosphaera_spHMPREF2800-1.0_Cont2.1, whole genome shotgun sequence.